rnacentral:miRNA from 8 species
GGAAGCGCUUCUCUUUAGAGUG